rnacentral:rRNA from 1 species
AUGCACGCUGGCGGCGUGCCUAAUACAUGCAAGUCGAGCGAACAGAUAAGGAGCUUGCUCCUUUGACGUUAGCGGCGGACGGGUGAGUAACACGUGGGUAACCUACCUAUAAGACUGGAAUAACUCCGGGAAACCGGGGCUAAUGCCGGAUAACAUUUAGAACCGCAUGGUUCUAAAGUGAAAGAUGGUUUUACUAUCACUUAUAGAUGGACCCGCGCCGUAUUAGCUAGUUGGUAAGGUAACGGCUUACCAAGGCAACGAUACGUAGCCGACCUGAGAGGGUGAUCGGCCACACUGGAACUGAGACACGGUCCAGACUCCUACGGGAGGCAGCAGUAGGGAAUCUUCCGCAAUGGGCGAAAGCCUGACGGAGCAACGCCGCGUGAGUGAUGAAGGUCUUCGGAUCGUAAAACUCUGUUAUUAGGGAAGAACAAAUGUGUAAGUAACUGUGCACGUCUUGACGGUACCUAAUCAGAAAGCCACGGCUAACUACGUG